rnacentral:tRNA from 1 species
AACCUUGUAGUGAAAUUCACAGCAGAUUGCAAAUCUGCGAAUACACUUUAGUUGGUGUCCUGGUUU